GGCAGAAGCCGAGUUCGGGCUGGUGGUGCACGGGAAGCGGCGGUCCUGACUGAUCCAAGUCGCCGGCGGCCCCAAUGAACCAGUUCGAGAACGUCUGGUCCUGCGCCGCCGCAGCGGCGUUGCCGAGCAUGGCGUCCUAGCUGUCGGCGACCACGACCCCCAUGUCGAGGCCGGUGGGAAUCGGCGGCAGCUCACAGCCGCCGGCCUAGUCCUCCUUCCCGCCGCCGCUUCCAGCUCACAACCGUCGGGUCGCCAGCCUCUCUGCGGUCGGCAAGGGGAAAGACGCUCGUGCCGUCCAAUCUUGACGAUCUGUUCUCGACGGAGAUGGCGGGCGCCGCGCAGACCAGGGCGGCUCUGCUUUCUCGCCGACGCGUAAGGCCGCCAUGCUGAACCAGUUCCAGGAGCAGCAGAGCUUGCUGUCUCCUCGGGCCACGGUUGUCCCUGAGCCGGUGUCUCCGAUGAGCUCCAGGUUGCUCUCGGCCCUUGCGCAAAGGGAGAAGAUGCAGCAGCUAACGCUGAGAAGUAUGAGCUCUCGUGACCUGGGCUUGGCCGCCUCAAGCGAUCCUCGUCCUUUGAGCUCCGGAGUGGCGCCAACGUGGUUAAAGCAGGGAUAAAAUUGACUUUUACCAUACCUAAUGGAAGGUAACAGAUCGCCGGGCAUUAACUGUCCCAAUAUAGCGCGGCUGUGAGCUCCAGAAUACCAAAAUGGCGAUGCGCAGCUGCGGAGUAAUAAAGUGGCGAAGCCGCGCGACGAGAAUGUUACAAUCUCAAAUAACUCCGUGACUUCCACCUUCCUUACCCUUCGUAUGGUGGGGGCCCACCUCGCCGCCCCCACCCCCCGCUGCCCUUCUCUCUUCCCCGUCUCCGACUCCACACACCUCCCCUUUCCACUCGCCGCCGGCGAUCCCGAACCGGGAGCAGCGCACAUGGCAGGCCGGGACGAGAGGUGGGGGGCGCGGGGCGGCCCGGGGGACACGCACGCGUCGACGAGCCGCGCACCCGCGGGCACCGCCGGGGAGUCGGAGGGCGCGUCGCCGGACUCGCUGCGGAACACGCCCUCCAACAUCGCGCGGCUGGAGGACGCGAUCGGGCACUGCGCGGCGCGGCGCAAAUACCUUGCGCACACCAAGAGCCCCUCCGACGGCAAGGACGUCCGCUGGUACUUCUGCAAUCUCCCCCUCGCCGACAAAGUGCUCUCUUCGUCCGUACCGCGGACAGAGAUAGUGGGGAAAGGAGACUAUUUCCGGUUCAGCGAGAGGGACUCUCUGGCACUGGAGGCGUCUUUCUUGGAGAGGGAGGAAGUGCUGCUUGCAUACUGGUGGCGUGAGUAUGCUGAAUGCAGUGCAGGACCGAGAGGAUCCUUGGUUGAAAGUGAUGAUUCUGCAUAUCUUUAUAAGGUGGAGGAAGAACGGGUUGGGGUUCCUGUGAAAGGUGGACUAUAUGAGGUUGAUUUGAUGAGGCGGCAUUGCUUCCCUGUGUACUGGAACGGUGAAAACAGGCGUGUCUUGAGAGGCCACUGGUUCGCUCGCAAAGGUGGUGUUGAUUGGAUUCCCUUGCGAGAGGAUGUUUCUGAACAACUUGAGUUAGCAUAUAAUUGUCAGGUCUGGCAUCGUCGAAAAUUUCAACCUUCAGGCCUAUUUGCAGCAAGGGUUGACCUCCAAGGAAGUACACUGGAUUUGCAUGCUCUUUUUACUGGAGAGGAUGAUACUUGGGAAGCUUGGCUUGUCUUUGAUACGGGUCCUAAGCUUGGUAGUAACACAAUCAAAUUAAGGCGCGGAUUUUCUCCUUCUGAAUCUGCAAGUACAAAGCCUUCACAGGAUGAGUUGCGUCAGACAAAAGAAGAGGAAAUGGAUGAUUACUGCUCUCAGGUUCCAGUUGGUCAUCUGGUAUUCAUGGUUCAUGGCAUUGGACAGAGGCUGGAGAAAGCUAAUCUUGUUGAUGAUGUUGUUGAUUUCCGCCGAGUAACUGCUAACCUAGCUGAAAGAUACUUAACUUCUUAUCAAAGAAGUACCCAGAGGGUUCUAUUUAUUCCCUGUCAGUGGAGGAAGGGCUUGAAACUCAGUGGUGAAAGUACGGUUGAGAAACUCACUUUGGAUGGAGUUAAAGGUCUUCGAGUCGCAUUAGGUGCCACAGUUCAUGAUGUCCUAUAUUAUAUGAGUCCUAUCUACUGUCAGCAUAUUAUUGACUCGGUCUCUAACCAGUUGAACAAGCUGUACAUGAAAUUUCUGAAGAGAAAUCCUGGUUACAGUGGAAAGGUUUCAUUGUAUGGCCACUCAUUAGGAAGUGUUCUGUCGUAUGAUAUACUUUGUCAUCAAGAAUCCCUUUUGGCCCCAUUUCCAACAGAGUAUCUGAACAUGGAAACAUCUGAUCGAAGUCAAGGAGCAAAGUCAGCCAAUGAAGUUGCUCUGCAUGAUUCAGGUGCAAAGGAUCAUGAUACUUAUACUCUAGGGCAUUCUUGUACUGGUAAUGAAAACAGUGCCGUUGAUGAAGGUAGCACCAGAACUGACAUGUCACAUAUGGACAGCAUUGUCCCAUCAUGUGUGCUCGAGGAUUCAUUAAAUAACCCAGAAACUGGUGUGCCACGUGGGGCAGUUGUUGCUGAGCAAAAUGAAAAAGAAAAUAGGAUUGAGAAUCAUCAGACGGUGUAUACUGAGGAAGGAACAACUUCAGGUGUAAGCACAAAAGAUGCUGAAGCAUCACACAUUUCAAGAUCUGCUGAGGAUGUCCAUGAAGAGGUCCUUGACAAAGAAAAAAUGAUCAUUUCACUAGAAGAAGAGGUGAAACGUCUUAAAGCUAAACUAGAUCAGCUUGAACAGCAUAAGCAUCUAGUGACUGAGAGCACCAGUGGUGUUGAGUAUCAUGGAGGCAAAAAUGGCAAUCAUGCCUUGAACUUUGGCGAACUUUUCACUGCACAAGGAAGUAUAAACCAGCCCUACUCACCACAAAUCAAAUACACAAAACUAAACUUUAAGGUUGACACAUUCUUUGCUGUUGGAUCUCCCCUGGGUGUCUUCCUUUCCCUGCGUAAUGUCCGUAUUGGUAUUGGCAAAGGGCGAGAUUAUUGGAAAGAUAAGAACAUAAUUGAAGAGAUGCCAUGCUGCCGGCAGAUGUUCAAUAUUUUUCAUCCUUUUGAUCCUGUAGCAUACAGUGUACUUAUCUGUCGCAUAGUGAGGAAUAUGUCAUAUGAAUCUAGGUGGGCUUUUAUACAGAGUUGAACCACUUGUAUGUGAAGAUUAUCAAAAGAAGCGUCCUGUAAUUGUUCCCUACCAUAGAGGCGGAAAGAGGAUACAUGUUGGAGUGCAGGAGUUCACAGAAGAUAUUUCUGCACGUUCUCAAGCCAUUGCCUGUCAAUUGAAGUCACUGAAGGUCAAAGCAGUAGCUGCUUUGCUAGCAUUGAGCAGAAAUGACACAGAAGAGGAUGGUGAGAGUGCUAAUGAGGAAGGAAGAUCGUAUGGUUCCAUUAUGAUGGAAAGGUUGACCGGCUCACCAGAUGGUCGAAUUGAUCAUGUGCUUCAGGAGAAAACAUUUCAGCAUUCAUACCUAUCUGCUCUGGGAGCUCAUACCAACUAUUGGCGAGAUCAUGACACUGCUCUCUUCAUUCUCAAACAUUUGUAUCGUGAUAUACCUGAGGAUCCUCCAAGCGAUGUCGUUGAAAGGAUGCAUAUUAAACUGUUUUAUGAGAGAGAUCCGGUUGAGGAAGAAACGCCCGUGACAUUUUCGGACCAUGCAGCAAUUAAGGAGUUCUGCAGAAAGGUGAGAGCCUACUCAACAAAAAUGGAGGAUGAUGCCAACUGCUAAGCCUCUUGAUGGUGUCAUUUCCUGAUGGAAACCAUGUUACAUCCCCACGUUCCUCGCCAAGAAGGAAGAUGCAGGCAUGGGAAGGGAGAACGAUUCCACAAAAUCGUGAUCCCAGGAUAAGAAUCCUAAGAAAUGUAGUUCCACGCUUGACACCAGAAUCAGGACACUUGAGAAACGUUGUACAGAGUCGGUUCCCCAUGUUGCUUCACUUGUUCCCGUCGUCAAUGCAGUGCUGUACAGAGAACGUCCUGCUGUACCUUUCUGUAUAUGUAAUCUUGCGUGCUGUGCAUACAGAAUAUGAUGGAUUUAGUUUCAAACGACAGCUUACAGCGA